UAGCUCAGUGGUAGAGCGCUCCCUUAGCAUGGGAGAGGGCUGGGGUUCAAUACCUCC
rfam:Caenorhabditis briggsae complete genome, chrII